ACUUGAAUAGCUUAUUGAGAGUGAAACAUUGAAGAUGUUUAGGAGGUAAUUUUUAUCUUUGAGUA
rnacentral:tRNA from 1 species